rnacentral:SRP_RNA from 1 species
GCUGAGCUCAGUAGCGAGAGCUUGUGACUCGAGUGAGGACAAAUAAGUAAUUGGGACCUUGGUUCAGUCCAAGGAGUCGGGUUCAGGCUGGGUUUUCACUGAUUCGCCCGAUCCAAGCCAGGAGCUGUGUUACGUGGUUCGAGCGAAGGCUUGGGUCUCGUAGCUCUUAGAGUGGAGGGCAUUGCGUGAGGCUGGUUUCACAGAGCAGCGAAUACCUCUUGCUUCCGGCAGUGGAUGGAUAACGGGUCGGAUCCGGUUGGGCCCAAUAUGAUUUCAUGGGCUUAUCUCAAUUGGACCAAUUACUUU